rnacentral:rRNA from 1 species
ACUACGGGGGGCAGCAGUGAGGAAUAUUGGUCAAUGGACGGAAGGCUGAACCAGCCAUGCCGCGUGAAGGUCAGUGCCCUAUGGGCGUUAAACUUCUUUUGUGCGGGAGCAAUAAUGGUAACGUGUGGCCAGACGAGAGUACCGUACGAAUAAGCAUCGGCUAACUCCGUGCCAGCAGCCGAGGUAAUACGGGGGAUGCAAGCGUUAUCCGGAGUUAUUGGGUUUAAAGGGAGAGGAGGCUGUGAGGUAAGUCAGCGGUGAAAUGCCCCCGCUCAACGGGGUGAAGUGCCAUUGAUACUGCCGUGCUGGAAUGCGGAUGCAGUGGGAGGAAUGUGUGGUGUAGCGGUGAAAUGCAUAGAUAUCACACAGAACACCGAUUGCGAAGGCAGCUCACGAAUCCGCGAUUGACGCUGAUGCACGAAAGCGUGGGUAUCAAACAGGAUUAGAUACCCCGGUAGUC